UUCAGGGAAAUCAGAGAAGCUAGGUAUACAUCUGAGGACUCUAAAGGCAGGAGGCUUUGGCUCUGAUCUUUCUAAGGCAGAUGAAUUGGGUGCCAGUGGUGGGGUCGAGCAUGCAUUGGAGUGGUCCUUGUGGACCAGAGGUGAGCUCCAAACGAGAGAGCUGUUCUGGGGCCGUUCAAAUUCUGUGGAAGAGGUCCCUGCAGUAUAGCUGGAAGGACCACACUUGAGCAGCCUAUCUGAGAAAAAUCUGUUGCUGCUGUCUAGAUAAGCCUCCUAGGUGGUUCUCCGGCGAGACUGAAGCACCCACACAAGCCAUCCAAGGAAAGGAGUCGGUUUUGGUCAUCCCUCCCAGCGAGAGGUGGCUGGAGACAUCUGCAAAUGCCAGGAAGAACCAGCUCCAGAUUGUACUGGUGCUGACCUUGACUUUUCUUCCUUAAUUUUCUCCACGCCUGGAGGGACUCAUGUCAAAGCUAGAAAAUCAGCGGGGAGAAGAGGCAGUGAGGUGGGGAAACAGAAAAGAAGCUAAAAUAUACCCCAUUACAACCUUCUGAGCUUGUCUAACCUAGUAGAGGCGAGGUGAAUUUUACAUUAGGUAAGAUUUUGAAAAACAUUGUACUAAGUUGUAUGUAUUUAUUACUAUUCUUACGAUUGAAGGUAAAUAGAGGUUUCUGAGUAUUGAAUAGUGAUUGAAGAAGUUAUGGACUUCAUCAGAGAAUUCAUGCAGUGGCAGGGAAAGAACUGGCACACAGAGAGAGUUUAAAGAGCAGUGGGAUAAAGAAUGAAGUUAGUUUCUGAUUAAGUCAUAUGGUCAUGAAUGUUCAGCUUAGCAGUUACUUGCCUUGGUAAAAAUGUCAGGCAACCCAUAGUAGCUUCAUCCAGCUUAUUUUGACUCCCGUUUAUUUACUUACUUGAAAGACAGAAGAAAAGAAUUUCUGAAUAUUUGGAAGAUUUUGCUGAAGUAAGUAAAUGCAGUUGAAUGCAGUUGAGGAGCAUCAAAUAAGACAAAACUGAGCCUUGUUACAGAAGAAAAUCUUGUUCAGUGGCACUGCAGCUGCUGCCACGUCUUCACUGACUCAUCCCUAGUUUUUAGAAGGUGCUGUUAACCUCCUUUGAUGGUCUUUGAUUGGUCAGUAGCUAAGCCUAUAAUAUGAGCCUUUAGCUGCUUGGAAAUUUCAGUCUUAUUUUGCUAUCUUCAUCCUUUUACAACCUGUGAAAUCUGUGCAAUUGAGUUGAGAUGUGUGAUUUCUACUCAAGGAUGCAGAAGAUGAAAUGAAAAGGAGCAUGGACUAUUCUCUCAUGUUGAAUGUGGCAGUUUUGACAUACAAGCAGGAGAGAAAUUACACCAAGAUUUUGGAAAACAUGUUAUGCAAGGUUAUUGUGACCUCUAUGAUGGGAAUCUAAUAAAGAAGAAAAACACCUCGCAGCAAUGACUGGCAUGUGAUCACUUAGCCAAUGAGAUAAGAGGCUGUAGAAAUGAUGUGAUAAUGACGUCUCCUGAGUUCCAGGUCCAUAUUAGCAGUGGAUAUGAGAAAUUUUCCUCAUUAAAUGCCUGAAUGCUUGCACCAUACAGCAAAUAUCCUCUGCUAUUAGGUCCCAACAGGUGACUCAGCUGGCUGUUAAUGAACAAUUUGGUCAAAGGCACUUAGCUUGAUUCCAUAUCUUGGCUGCUGUGAACAGUGAUGCGGAAAUCAUGGGAGUGCCAACAAUUCUUCAACAUACUGAUUUCAUUUCCUUUGGGUAUGUACCCAGUAGUGAGAUUGCUGGAUUAUAUGGUAGUGAUCAUGUUUUAGACUUGAUGAUAAUAGUUUAUAUCUCCUCAGGUUGUUGUAAGAAAUAAAAUAAUGUUUAUAAAGUACUCAGAUCAGCACACGGUACCUAGUUUAAGUGUUCAGUAUUUAUUGAACAAAAGGAAAGAAAAGAAUGCAAAACAAAAUAGAGCAUACAAACAAGUUAUUUAAUCAAACAUAGCACUUUAUUGAAAAAUAUGUCAACUAUUUCAUUCUUGUACUAAAAUAUAUUUUGAUAAUAUAUGUAUCACUUUAUUCUUUAAGAUUUAAAUCUAUCAUAUUUGCUAUGCAAAGAAAGAGCUAAAUAUAACUAUGUUGGUUCCUCCACUGACAUAUAUGUGUAGACAUACAAAAGACAUAUAUGUCUUUUUGUUACAACAAAGACAGCAUUUGUUGUUGGCAAGCUAUACAGAAAUGCAUGAUGAAGGCAGAAAGAAAAUAUCAAGGAAACAAGUCAUAUCCUUUUAAGGACAAAGCUUUUCUUGUGAACAGUAACACCCAACACCACAGGAUAUCCAAUUAACCUGUUUGAAGAAAAGUUCCCGUCGUUGAAGGAUGUGAAGUAUAUUUCACUCUUAAAAGUGUAGUGGUCUUCCUAUCUUUAACCUCAUGCUUCCUUUUAUGUUUCAUUGGUUUUUCAAAUUCUCUGUAUCCUCCCAGAAAAAACGAAAUAACCACAAAAAAAUAAAUGAAGAAAAGAAACCCAGACACAACAUUUAAGGUUAAAGAGUAAAUUGUACAAAGGAAUUGAAGAAUUCAAGAGAGAUCUUAACUCACUUCCUCAAAGGAUUUAAAUUUUUAUUUGAAGUCAUUCUAUGCAUUAAAAUAUCCAACAUUUUUAUUACAGUGAAUAAUCAUUGUGAAGUGGGGGAAGAGAAAGGAGGAAGAAGAUACUAUGUUUAAUUCUUUUCAUUGUGGUUAACAUUACUGUGGUAGAUGUUAGUGGUUGUAAAUGGGAUGAAACUUACGGAGGGCUGCUGAGUUGCUGGUCAAAUUUCAUCUCUUGAUUUAUGAGGUCCUUAUUUUGCUUACUUUGUAAUCAUUACGUAUAAUUCAUCAAGCUCUACAUGAAUAAUUUGUAUGCUUUUCUUUAUAUCUAGUAUAUUUUAAUUAAAAGUUCAUGUGCAAAUAAAGAAUUAAAGAGAGCUCCAAAUGUAUUAAAAAGAGCAAAUAAUUAAAUUUCAUCCUGGGCUGUACUGCAGUUGGUUACUGCAGUUAGCUUGUUAUAGCUAUGGGGGAAAAACAUAAUACUUCCUUUUACCUGGAGAUGUAAAAUAACUAAAUUUGUGUGUGGGAGUUUACCUUUUUGGACUACAUGUUCUGUGUGAGCCAAUAAAUUGUAUAGUAGGCG